rnacentral:tRNA from 1 species
AAAAAAUUAGUUAAAUUAUAAUAUUAAAAUGUCAUUUUAAAGUUAUUAAAUAUUAAUAUUUUUUA